GAUGAACGCUAGCUACAGGCUUAACACAUGCAAGUCGAGGGGAAACGAUAUUGGAAGCUUGCUUCCGAUAGGCGUCGACCGGCGCACGGGUGAGUAACGCGUAUCCAACCUGCCCACCACUUGGGGAUAACCUUGCGAAAGUAAGACUAAUACUCAAUGAUAUCUCUAGAAGACAUCUGAAGGAGAUUAAAGAUUUAUCGGUGAUGGAUGGGGAUGCGUCUGAUUAGCUUGAUGGCGGGGUAACGGCCCACCAAGGCGACGAUCAGUAGGGGUUCUGAGAGGAAGGUCCCCCACAUUGGAACUGAGACACGGUCCAAACUCCUACGGGAGGCAGCAGUGAGGAAUAUUGGCCAAUGGGUGAGAGCCUGAACCAGCCAAGUAGCGUGCAGGAUGACGGCCCUAUGGGUUGUAAACUGCUUUUAUAAGGGAAUAAAGUGAGCCUUGUGAGGCUUUUUGCAUGUACCUUAUGAAUAAGGACCGGCUAAUUCCGUGCCAGCCGCCGCAGUAAAAC
rnacentral:rRNA from 1 species